rnacentral:rRNA from 1 species
CCUACGGGCGGCUGCAGUGGGGAAUAUUGCACAAUGGGCACAAGCCUGAUGCAGCCAUGCCGCGUGUGUGAAGAAGGCCUUCGGGUUGUAAAGCACUUUCAGCGGGGAGGAAGGCGGUGAGGUUAAUAACCUCAUCGAUUGACGUUACCCGCAGAAGAAGCACCGGCUAACUCCGUGCCAGCAGCCGCGGUAAUACGGAGGGUGCAAGCGUUAAUCGGAAUUACUGGGCGUAAAGCGCACGCAGGCGGUCUGUCAAGUCGGAUGUGAAAUCCCCGGGCUCAACCUGGGAACUGGAUUCGAAACUGGCAGGCUAGAGUCUUGUAGAGGGGGGUAGAAUUCCAGGUGUAGCGGUGAAAUGCGUAGAGAUCUGGAGGAAUACCGGUGGCGAAGGCGGCCCCCUGGACAAAGACUGACGCUCAGGUGCGAAAGCGUGGGGAGCAAACAGGAUUAGAUACCCCAGUAGUC